rnacentral:rRNA from 1 species
UGGGGAAUAUUGGACAAUGGGCGCAAGCCUGAUCCAGCCAUGCCGCGUGGGUGAAGAAGGCCUUCGGGUUGUAAAGCCCUUUUGUCCGGAAAGAAAUCCUGUCGGUUAAUACCCGGCGGGGAUGACGGUACCGGAAGAAUAAGCACCGGCUAACUUCGUGCCAGCAGCCGCGGUAAUACGAAGGGUGCACGCGUUACUCGGAAUUACUGGGCGUAAAGCGUGCGUAGGUGGUUGUUUAAGUCUGAUGUGAAAGCCCUGGGCUCAACCUGGGAAUGGCAUUGGAAACUGGGCAGCUAGAGUGCGGUAGAGGGUAGUGGAAUUCCCGGUGUAGCAGUGAAAUGCGUAGAGAUCGGGAGGAACAUCUGUGGCGAAGGCGACUGCCUGGACCAGCACUGACACUGAGGCACGAAAGCGUGGGGAGCAAACA